rnacentral:lncRNA from 1 species
GCAGACAAGAAACAUGUAACAUCGCUACUACGUUAUGUUAAUAGUAUUUUACAUAUAUCAAUUUCUCAUGGAUGAGAAAGUGUGACAAAACCUGAAAUUUUUUUACAAGCAAGUACCAGAAGAAACAGGAAGAAGAAGAUGGCUGUGGCAGCUUUACAUAAUACCUGGCUCCAUCCACACCCACCACCUUAAGCUAACCAGAUCCGACCAAAGCCCAACGAUAUCAACUCACGGCGCCGGCGGCCGCACGUGACUACGGAUCCGUCAGUAGAAAUGAUGGAAAUCUUUAGAGGUUUAGAUCCACUCCGUCCGAAUCCCAUCGGACGGCUCCAGCGGACCUACCAGCACUGGUCGGUCUCCCAGGUCCGGCGGCCGUAGCUGGGGAAGGACGGGGAGCGGGAGAAAGGCCGGAAGGAGGAGGAGGAAGGCGUCGGUGGUGAAGAGUGGCGGACGGUCCGGCGGUGGCGGCCGAGGAGGAGGAGCUUGCGGUCGUAGUCAGCGCGCUUGUCGGGAUCGGACAGGGUGGAGUAGGCGGCGUGAAUCCGGAUGAACUCGUCGGCCGAGGUGCCCUUCCGGUCGGUGGCCACCACGUCCCGCCUUAAGCUAACUAGAUCCGACCAAAGCCCAACGAUAUCAACUCACGGCGCCGGCGGCCGCAAGUGACUACGGAUCCGUCAGUAGAAAUGAUGGAAAUCUUUAGAGGUUUAGAUCCACUCCGUCCGAAUCCCAUCGGACGGCUCCAGCGAUACUGGAUCCCGCUCGGCGGACCUACCAGCACUGGUCGGUCUCCCAGGUCCGGCGGCCGUAGCUGGGGAAGGACGGGGAGCGGGAGAAAGGCCGGAAGGAGGAGGAGGAGGAAGGCGUCGGUGGUGAAGAGUGGCGGACGGUCCGGCGGUGGCGGCCGAGGAGGAGGAGCUUGCGGUCGUAGUCAGCGCGCUUCUCGGGAUCGGACAGGGUGGAGUAGGCGGCGUGAAUCCGGAUGAACUCGUCGGCCGAGGUGCCCUUCCGGUCGGUGGCCACCACGUCAGGGUGGCGUGCGAGCGCCAGCCGACGAUACGCGGCCUUGAUCUCCUGGCCGGUAGCGCCUGAGGGGAGGCCGAGUACGUCGUAGAGCGAGGCGAAGGAUGAUUGCAAAGCCGGGGGUAGGGCGGCGGCCGUGGGCUGGCGCUCCGCCGCGGCCGUGUACGCGGCGGAGAUGCCCGGCGAGCGGAGGGAGGUGGCGGAGCGAGGGGAGGAAGGCGCGACGGAGCGAGGGGUAGAGGGGGUGAUCCGAAGGCCGAGGAACUGGGAGGACG